rnacentral:rRNA from 1 species
GGGGGGGGGGGGGGGGGGGGGGGGGGGGGGGGAGGCGGGCGGGAGGGGCGUGCGGUGGUGGGGGGGGCGGGUGGGGGACGGGGGAGGGGCACGGGGGUGCCCUGCGCCUGGCUUUGGGGUGACGUCAGGGAAGUGGGGCGGAGAGCGGAGAGGAGCUCCUGCUGCACGGUGGGGGGUGGGGAGUUUCGGCGGUUGGGGAUGGGCUCGCGGCUUAGCAGCAUGUUGGUGGGGUAGUGGCUGACCAAGGCUUUGACGGGUAGCCGGCCUGAGAGGGUGACCGGCCACAUUGGGACUGAGAUACGGCCCAGACUCCUACGGGAGGCAGCAGUGGGGAAUAUUGCACAAUGGGCGGAAGCCUGAUGCAGCAACGCCGCGUGCGGGAUGACGGCCUUCGGGUUGUAAACCGCUUUCGCCUGUGACGAAGCGUGAGUGACGGUAAUGGGUAAAGAAGCACCGGCUAACUACGUG